rnacentral:ncRNA from 2 species
ACAUAUUCGGCAUUAACAAGUGCCAUAAGGCUUAAUCGGGAAACCGGUGCGAUUCCGGUACAGUCCCCGCUACUGUAAUUGGUGACAAACCCAACCACGCCACUGUCCUGUAGAUGGGAAGGCAUGGGUGACGGAUGAUCCAUGAGUCAGGAGACCUGCUUGAUAAUGCGCUGGACC